rnacentral:rRNA from 1 species
UAUCCAGACUCCUACGGGAGGCAGCAGUGGGGGAUAUUGCACAAUGGGGGAAACCCUGAUGCAGCGACGCCGCGUGAGUGAAGAAGUAUUUCGGUAUGUAAAGCUCUAUCAGCAGGGAAGAAGAUGACAGUACCUGAGUAAGAAGCCCGGCUAACUACGUGCCAGCAGCCGCGGUAAUACGUAGGGGGCAAGCGUUAUCCGGAUUUACUGGGUGUAAAGGGAGCGUAGACGGAUGGAUAAGUCUGAAGUGAAAGCCCGCGGCUCAACUGCGGGACUGCUUUGGAAACUGUAUGGCUGGAGUGCUGGAGAGGCAAGCGGAAUUCCUAGUGUAGCGGUGAAAUGCGUAGAUAUUAGGAGGAACACCAGUGGCGAAGGCGGUCUGCUGGACAGCAACUGACGCUGAGGCGCGAAAGCGUGGGGAGCAAACAGGAUUAGAUACCCUCGUA